rnacentral:lncRNA from 1 species
CACCUCAAUGAUGCUGGUCUCUCUUUAAGUACCACUAAUUUUUUAGUUCCAGUUAUCCAGCAUCAAGAUUCCCAGUAACACAGAGGUUUCACUUUGGAAGCAAGCUUAGUAAGUAGCACCCCUUUCUGGUCUCUGCGUUAUAUCCUUCCUCCAGGGUGCUGUUCUCCUGUUGACCAUGACUACAUUUUCAGCCCUAACUAAAUUGAAGAGUUUUGGAUUAAUGGCAUUGGCAGAGAAGAUUUAAAGAACAGCCCAGUAUUGGCUCUGUCAUGUGGUCAUGUCAAGUGGUCACACUUAUGCAGAUUUAUAAUGAAAAGAAGCAGUGAAAAAUACAAAAUGAAUAGUAUGAAGAGAAAAGGAGAACCAGAAAGUGUAAUGGAGCUAAGUCCAUGCACAAACAGAUAAAAGUUUGAAGAAAGGCUGAUACUAAAUGGAAUAAAGAGCGUAGUGACUUCUCUCAGCCACUCAACCAGCCAAAGUUCCAACCUGUGAAAAGGAAUUAAAGAAAAACGGAGCUGAAGGAAAUGUUCAGAAAGCUAGUGCAAAUGUAACUGAAGGAGGGGACAAAGUUUCAUCCCCAUGAAUUAACAGAACUUGGCAGCAUUGGCCACAUCUUUUUGGCUUUAGAGUCAAGGAUACAAGAAAGGAGUGGUGGAAUCUCCCCCUGGUAAGGAAAGCUGCUGACGCCUCAUAUGUCAGAGGUGUCUGUGUUGGGUGGUCUUAUGUCAAUUUGACACAAACUAGAGUCCUUGCAAAAGAGGAAUUCUCAAUUGAGAAAAUGCCUCCAUGGCAUCCAGCUGUAGAGCAUUUUCUUAAUUAGUGAUUAAUGAGGGAAUGUCCAACUCAUUGUGGGUAAUGCCUUCCUGGGUUGGUGGUCCUAGAUUUCAUAAGAAAACAGGCUGAACAAGAGAAAGCCAAUAAACAGCAUACUCCAUGGCUUCUGCAUCUAGGUAUCUGGGAUUGGGAUAAUUAUAGGUGUAGGGCAGGCUGAUUUCUAUGGUUUUUUUUGUUUUUGUUUUUGUUUUUUUUUUUUUUUUAGGUGGGUGUUUUAUUUUUCUUGGUUUUUGUUUUCUCUCUGCAUUUUCAGGAACUGUAAUGGCUAUGUGUUGCCUAGUAGAAAAUUCUCUUUGGACCUUUUGUUUUAUCCACUUAGGGUUCCAGGUAAAAUGUGUUGCUGGAUAUUGGGAGCUGACAAUUAGGAAUGGGGAUAGGCUAGAUGUCUGAAGUGGAUCACAGGAGAAAGGAAAGCAGAGUUCAGUCAAGAUCUGCUUCCUUUGUCUCCUUGGAAUUGGGGAAGAUAGUGAAGAGAGGCCACUCUAGAAGGUAUACUAUAUCACUGGGAAUGAGACUGGUAGGUUAGAUCUAGAGGAACUGUGGGAGAGGGGAAGACCUACAGAUGGCUUCCCUGUUCACUGGCAGGAGUGGUCUGUCAGUUAGCAGGGAGUGCCUUCUGGUGUUGGGGGUCUAGGAUGAAGCAACAAGUGUGGAGAGGGUGGUUAGAAGAGGAAGGUCUGUGUGAUUUCCAGGAGAUGAAGGCUAGGCGGGAAGAAUGACUGUGACUGUUAUUCUGUUGUAGAAAUAGGGAUGCAAUUCAAGGAUUGGGUUUGGAGGAGAGGAAGGAGUGGCGAAGGUCUUCAGUUAGCCUGUUUCCCCAGCCUGCUCAGCUGGAGUGUUCACAAUGAAUGCCUGCUGAUGUUGGAGGUUGGGAUGGUGGAAUGUGUUGGGAGAAAGAAGGUUGGAGAUGAUCAUUGUGAUCCCCUGGGAUGAGGUCAGAGAGGAUAGGGAGACCACAGCAGGAUUCAGAAGUUGAAUAUGGAUGCACUGAUCUAUGAGGAUGUGUAUGUGAAUUUUACUCAGGAAGAGUGGGCUUUGUUGAAUCCUUCCCAGAAGAGUCUCUACAAAGAUGUGAUGCUGCAAACCUGCAGGAACCUCAUUGCUAUAGGCUACAAAUAGAACAACCAGAAUAUUGAAGAACAUUGUCAAAGUUCUGGAAAACAUGAAAGGUAUAUCAUCUAUCACUCAGAAUACGAGCCAUUUGAGCAUAAGGGGCAUGGAAAGAUGCAGUGUACCUCUCCCUCUCCUACUACAGUUAGAAGAUAUAUAGUAGUCCCUGCUAUGAGUAGACUUUAUGAAUGUGACAUGAAUUUACAGGCACUUGGUGUUCCAGCUACAGUGGGAAUGCAUCAACAGACUUACAAUGGAGAAAAGCUUUAUAGGUACCAGGAAUGUGGGAAUUCUUCUGUUUAUCCUGGUUCACUUUGCACAUGUAGUGUGAAUCACACUAUAAGAAAAUGUUUCGAAUGCACUCAGUGUUGUAAAGCUCUGAGUUCUCUUCAAAGACACGAAAAAAAAAUUCAUCUGGGAGAAGGAAUUGAUAAUUGUGAGCCAUGUACUAAAGGCUUUAACCAUCACAGGUAUCUUCACACACACAAAAGAACCAAUAGUGAAGAGGAUCCCUAUGAAUACAAUCAGUGUGGUAAAGCCUUUGGAUCUGGUUCUUCCUUACAUCAAAGACCUCAUUUGGAAGGAGCUUCCUAUAAAAAUAAUCAGGGUGUAAAAGUCUUUGCACAUCACAGUUGUCUUCAAGUACGCAGAAUUCAUACUGGAGAGAAACCUUAUGAAUGUAAUCAGUGUGGUUAAAGCCUUUGCAAGUCUCCAUAAUCUUAAAAUACAUAAAAUAAUUCACACUGGAGAGAAACCCUAAGCGUGUCAUCAAUGUGGUAAAGCCUUUGCACAUACCAUUUAUCUUCAGAGGCAUGAAAGAAGUCAUAUAGGAGACAGACCAUAUGAGUGUAAUCAGUGUGGUAAAGGCUUUACACAUUUUGGGGUCUUCAAAACCAUCUGAAAAAUCAUACUGGAGAGAAACCCUAUGAAUGUAAUCAAUGUGGUAAAGCUUUUGCACGUACCAUUUAUCUUCAAAGGCAUGAAAAAAGUCAUACAGAAAACAAACGUUAUCAAUGUAAUCAGUGUGGUAAAGUCUUUGUAAGUCAAAGUAAUCUUCAGAAACAUGAAAGAAGGCAUAAUGGAGAGAUAACUUAUGGAUGCAAUUGAUACACUAUCAGCCUUUGCAUGUUUCAUUUUUCUUCAAAGGAAUGAAAGAAUUCCUACUGGAGAGAAGCACCACGAAUCUAGUAAAUGCAGUAAAGUCUU